GUGAAUAGGAAGUAGAGACACAGCAAGUAUAGACAGCUCGGAAGACCUUGACCCCCACCCACCCCAAUCGACGUGUUUUCCUGGGCUUUACUCUUUGCUUCCGUUAGUCACUUUGGCCAAGGUUUCUCCUGCGUAGACGUCAGGAUGGCGAGGACAGAGGCCAGGAAGGAAGGAGAUGUGUCCCAGAAAGCUGAAGCCCCCUCCUGGGGCAGCCUUUUGGAAGGAGCUUCUGAUACCUAACCUGGAUCAUUCCUGCUGCAGUAUCAGCAGGUGUCAGCCGGGGAAGGAGAAGCCUUCUGUGAAUGACAGUCCUUCAGAUGACUAAAAACAGCUGAACUCUAUCCCAAGCAGAUAUAAGAGAGGUGGAGAUCAGGGUCUUGCUCUAUCAUCAAGACUGGAGUGCAGUAGUGUGAUCAUAGUUCACUGCAGCCUCAAACUCCUGGGCUCAAGCGAUCCUCCCGACUCACAACCUCCUGGAAUUUUUUGAUGGGAAAGAAAAUUGGAGACCGUGUCCAUUUUGAGCACGUCUCC
rnacentral:lncRNA from 10 species